CCUACGGGAGGCAGCAGUGGGGAAUUUUGGACAAUGGGCGACACGCCUGACUCCAGACAAUCGCCGCGUGAGGUAGAAGGACGUCCGUUCGGGUUAGUAAGCUUCUUUUGACAAGGGANAACGGCUUAGAGUAAUACCGUUGCUAUGACCGGUACCAGAAGAUAACGGCACCGGCUACACCGUGCCAGCCAGGACCNCGGUAAGUCGUAGGUGCUAANCGGUAAUCGAGUCUAGGCGUAAGCGUNCGCUAGCGUUUAGAAUNUUGAGUANAACGUCCCGGCUACACGUGGUAUNCUUGAGCUNCAGCUGAGUCUGGCAGGAGGGUGAAUUCCACGUGUAGCAGUGAAUGCGUAGAGAUGNGGAGACACGAUGGCGAAGGCACGCCCCUGGUACAGUACUGACGCUCAUGCGACGAACGACGGUGGGGAGGACAACAGGAGUAGUAUACCUCGGUAGUCCACCGACCCUAACCGAUGUCUACUAGUUGUUCGGUUCGUACUAGUACGUUACGUACGUACACGACGUACGACGUCGAGUAGUACCGCCGCGGGUGGGUACGGGUCGGUCGACGUUAGUUAAACGUAACGUUAAAGUUAAGUAGUUAGCGNGNGAGNGCGACGACGACGACGAGGAGGAGG
rnacentral:rRNA from 1 species